UGCCAGCAGCCGCGGUAAUACGAAGGGGGCGAGCGUUGUUCGGAAUCACUGGGCGUAAAGGGCGCGUAGGCGGCCCUGCUUGUCGCGUGUGAAAGCCCCGGGCUCAACCUGGGAACGGCGCGCGAGACGGCGGGGCUGGAGUUCGGGAGAGGAGAGUGGAAUUCCCAGUGUAGAGGUGAAAUUCGUAGAUAUUGGGAAGAACACCGGUGGCGAAGGCGGCUCUCUGGACCGAGACUGACGCUGAGGCGCGAAAGCGUGGGGAGCAAACAGGAUUAGAUACCCUGGUAGUCCACGCCGUAAACGAUGUGUGCUAGACGUUGGGGAGCCUAGCUCUUCGGUGUCGCAGCAAACGCUUUAAGCACACCGCCUGGGGAGUACGGCCGCAAGGUUAAAACUCAAAGGAAUUGACGGGGGCA
rnacentral:rRNA from 1 species